UAUCAACCAAGGCAAAAAGGAAAACGUUAAAAAUUUCUUAAAGAAUUAUACUAGCUCACCAGAGUAAAAAUAAAGCAAUAAUACAGAACUGUUUGGGAUGUGAAUGUGCUAGAAAUUAUUACUUUCAAUAAAUCUUUCAUGAAAUCUACAGAAAUAUUCUUUUCAUAGACUAGAUAUUUUCUUAAUAUAUAUUUCAGGGGUUGUAUGCAAAAGCUUUAUUCAGAUAUAUCCUAUGUUAGAAACCGAACUAAAAAUGUGAACCUGAUCGUUCAAUUCUUAUGUUAUGUCCUGUUAUGUCCAGACUCCCUCUGUUCCCUUUUUGAGAACCAGUCCAACUCCAUGAAGAUGAAAAAGUAGGUAUUGUUUAUGGUUGUUGUAUCAGCCUGGCCAUUGGACCCCAGGGUUGGACUUGUUUAACAAAUCAGAAAAUUUGCUGUAAUGAGAUGGCUUAAACACUCAUUUUUGCCUAUGUCUAAAAUUCCUUUAUAUGGAAAUAGAAACUUUUAUUUCACUAUUAAAGUAAUGCAUAUAAAAGUAAUUUUUUUCUAGAGAAAGUAAUAAUUUCCUCAAUCUAUCGCUAAUUUUUGAUGGAAGAGAAAACUGGUAGCAGGAAGGUGAUUUGCGGGUGAGAGAAAAAAAGUAAACAAAAUAGAAAAGGUAUGUUUCUGUGGUCAGAGUCACGUAAAAGAAUCAGCUGUAUGCUUAUUUUAAACUACACAUUUCUGAAUCAUAUCUUCAAAGGUUCUGCUUUAUUAUGUUGGCCUGGGUUUUGGGUGACUCUGCUUUGGGCUGUCAAUGUACCUCAUGCAAAGAGGCCAUCAGUGGGAGGAAGAGCCAGAACCAAAGGCCAUUUUGACAGCAGGAUCAACAGGAGAAGCAGUAGGUAUUCUACAAUAAAUUGAUCAUCCUUCUAUUAUUGAGAAGAGAAAAAUAAAACAGAAAAGAAUAAAGAGGAAAUGGAAGGA
rnacentral:lncRNA from 1 species